GACGAACCGUCCUAACGUUGUUCGGAAUCACUGGGCUUAAAGCGUGUGUAGGCGGACCGUUAAGUACCUUGUGAAAUCCCACGGCUCAACCGUGGAACGGCUGGGUAGACUGGCGGUCUUGAGCGGCCUAGGGGCAGAUGGAACAGACGGUGGAGCGGUGAAAUGCGUAGAUAUCGUCUGGAACGCCAAAGGUGAAGACAGUCUGCUGGGGGCCUGCUGACGCUGAGACACGAAAGCCAGGGGAGCGAACGGG
rnacentral:rRNA from 1 species